rnacentral:rRNA from 1 species
UACGUAGGGUGCAAGCGUUUAAUCGGAAUUACUGGGCGUAAAGCGUGCGCAGGCGGUUAUGUAAGACAGAUGUGAAAUGCCCGGGCUUAACCUGGGAACUGCAUUUGUGACUGCAUGGCUAGAAUCUGGCAGAGGGGGGUAGAAUUCCACGUGUAGCAGUGAAAUGCGUAGAUAUGUGGGAGGAACACCCGAUGGCGAAGGCAGCCCCCCUGGGCCGACACUGACGCUCAUGGCACGAAAGCGUGGGGAGCAAACAGG